rnacentral:tRNA from 2 species
GCUCGAGUGGCGGAAUGGUAGACGCAAGGGACUUAAAAUCCCUCGGGAGCAAUCCCGUGCUGGUUCAAGUCCAGUCUCGAGCACCA